GGCUGACGCUGGCGGCGUGCCUAAUACAUGCAAGUCGAGCGAACAGACGAGGAGCUUGCUCCUCUGACGUUAGCGGCGGACGGGUGAGUAACACGUGGAUAACCUACCUAUAAGACUGGGAUAACUUCGGGAAACCGGAGCUAAUACCGGAUAAUAUAUUGAACCGCAUGGUUCAAUAGUGAAAGACGGUUUUGCUGUCACUUAUAGAUGGAUCCGCGCCGCAUUAGCUAGUUGGUAAGGUAACGGCUUACCAAGGCAACGAUGCGUAGCCGACCUGAGAGGGUGAUCGGCCACACUGGAACUGAGACACGGUCCAGACUCCUACGGGAGGCAGCAGUAGGGAAUCUUCCGCAAUGGGCGAAAGCCUGACGGAGCAACGCCGCGUGAGUGAUGAAGGUCUUCGGAUCGUAAAACUCUGUUAUUAGGGAAGAACAAAUGUGUAAGUAACUAUGCACGUCUUGACGGUACCUAAUCAGAAAGCCACGGCUAACUACGUGCCAGCAGCCGCGGUAAUACGUAGGUGGCAAGCGUUAUCCGGAAUUAUUGGGCGUAAAGCGCGCGUAGGCGGUUUUUUAAGUCUGAUGUGAAAGCCCACGGCUC
rnacentral:rRNA from 1 species